CGGAUAGUGUGAUUAUAAAUAAAUACACACCUUCUAUAAAUGUGCUAAUACUACAUGCUCAAAUAGUGCAGUUGUGUAACCAGGAAGUUAUGAAUAUGAGCAUCGGAGUUAUUUCUUAAACCAUUAUAUUUAUAACUUAAAGUCUAUUGUCUUGAAAUUAUUAACUGUUCAAUGAUGGAAACUUGAGUGCAAAUUGUUCUUAGUGACCCAAAGCCAUCUUUAUGGUGUUUAAGUGGAACCAUCCUCAGUAAUCUCAGUGAUCUUUAGACUGCACCAUGUGGGACAUCCUCAGCAGCAGCAUGUGACUCCAACUGAUGAUCCAACCAGAAGCAGGACAUCAGGAUAGAUCAGGCAGGUCCGGAGAGCAGAAGGGGUCAGGAUCACUGGCAUCUCAGGAGUAUCAUGUGGAUCUCGACAGAGAGAGAGAGAGAGAGAGAGAGAGAGAGAGAUUAUUAAGCUAUGGUUAUUGUCCUGUAAUGGUUAAGGACAGUGUACUUUGCGUGAGUGAAAGGAGGGACUCUGGCAAUACUAGCUAUUACAGCGUAACUAAAAGGGAGAACCAGAAGGGAACACAGACAUGAGUACUCCCUGGGACAUAAUGCAGCCCGACAUUCCACCAUCAACACCACCUGGGUGAAGGUGUGAAAGUCGGGGGGACAGCAUCCAAACAUCCCAGAUCACCAUUCAGUGCUUUAUAGUCCUACUUCGUCACUGACUAUGAUCCCACAAUCGAGGACUCAUACACCAAGCAGUGUGUGAUUGAUGACAGACCUGCACGGCUUGACAGUAAGUUCUUACGCGCACACACACACACACACACACGUACAAGCACACACAUAUAUAUAUAUAUAAUAGGGGUG
ensembl:lncRNA